rnacentral:lncRNA from 1 species
UUCGUAUUAAAAAAAAAAAAGAGAGCAUUCACCUUGUGAUGUCACCAUCACCCCCAGCCCCUCCAGAUCUUUUUCUUCUCCAGUGACACUCUGUCCCCAUUCGAUGCCACCCCCCUCCUCCUCCCCCAAGCCGGGGCACUCACCGUCCGCUUUCUGUCUCUGUGAAUCCAACUCCUCCAGGACCUUGCAGACCUGGAGCCACACAGGAUCUGCCCCUUUGUGACUUAGGUCCCUCGGCAUACUUCCUUCAAGCUUCCUCUAUGCCUGUUGUUAGAUUUUACACUUAGUUUUUAGUUGGACUGUCUUUGUUUUCAUACUGAGGACCCUGACACUGGAAACAGAGCAACCACCUGACAGUUUGCCUGGCUGAGAGGCUUCCUUCUCACCACCCUAACAUAUACUUAGCUUUGCCAUAGUGGGCAUUUUGCAGCAGUUUUCCCGCCUGUCCACUGCACAGUUGGCAUGUUAAUGGCUGCUCAUGGCUCUCAGCACGGCCCGCACCUCAAGGAUGGAGGUUGUGCACCCCCCUCUCCGUUGGGGCAGACUUCAGAGAACCCACAGAAGCCCCUCCUUCUUCCCUAGCAACACAAAGCACCCUGACCACGAGGCACAAUACAGGCAUGUGGUUAGCUCCCUCUCCGAGUACAACAGGCUCUUUUUGUUUUAAAUCUUCUGUUUUGGAGUUCCUAUCCUGGUGCAGCAGAAAUGAAUCUGACUAGGAACCUUGAGGUUGCAGGUUUGAUCCCUGGCCUCGCUUAGCCAGUCGAGGAUCUGGCGUUGCCGUGAGCUGUGGUGUAGGUUGCAGGCAUGGCUUGGAUCUGGCAUUGCUGCGGCUGUGGUAUAGACUGGCAGCUACAGCUCUGAUUAGACCCCUAGCCUGGGAACCUCCAUAUGCCGUGAGUGUGGCCCUAAAAAAAAAAGACAAAAAAAAAAUUUUUUUUUUCUGUCUUUUUAGGGCCAUACCUGCUGUACAUGGAGGUUCCCAGGCUAGGAGUCCAAUCGGAGCUGCUGGCCUAUGCCACAGCCAUAGCAACACCAGAUCCAAGCCACAUUUGUGACUUACACUGCAGCUUGCAGCAACACCCGAUCCUUAACCCACUGAACAAGGCCAGUUAUCAAACCCACAUCCUCACGGAUACUAGCCAGGUUCUUAACCUGCUGAGCCACAACGGGAACUCCACAACAGACUCUUAAUACCUGCCCUUUUUUUUGUUUUGUUUUUUUGGGGUUUUUUUGUUUUGUUUUGUUUUGGCUGCCCUCGUGGCAUGCAGAAGUUCCCCAGCCAGGGAUCAGACCUGAGCCACAGCAGUGACCCAAGCAGCAGCAGUGACAACAUUGGAGCCUUAACCUGCUGAGUCACAAGGGAACUUCAAAACCUGCUUUUGGUUUGUUUGCUCUUUAUAAUGAUUAUUUUUAAGUAGUAUAUUCUAAUGGUUAAGUAUAUAUAUACACAGUAAGGGAGUUCCCGUUGUGGCUCAGCAGGUUAAGAACCCGGCUAGUACCCAUGAGGAUUCUCUUGCCUCGCUCAGUGGGUUAAGGAUCCGGCAUUGUGUGAGCUGUGGUGUAGGUCACAGACAUGGCUCAGAUCUGGUGUUGUGGCUGUGGCUGUAGCGUAGGCUGGUGGCUCCAGUUCAGCCCCUAGCCUGGGAACCUCCCUGUGUCAGGAGUAUGGCCAUAAAAAGACACCCCCCCCCAACACACACGUAAGAAUAUGCACUGAAGAUAAGCCUCCUAUCUUGACUUUACUUCCUGGUCCCCUCCCCAGUGGCCUUCUUUCCAGAGACGGUUCACAGAUAACAAGCACAUGGCUGCCUUUUUACGCAAAAGAUUUCAUCUCAUACCCACUGAUCUGAACCAUGUUUUUUGAAAAAAAUACAGAAAAGUAAGACUGUAAUAUGAAAAGUUCCCGCCACUCAGAGCUGAUUAAAAACUAGCUAUAUUUUUCCCCCACAAAAAAAGAAAUAUCCCAUGUUGCUGUGGCUGUGGUGUAGGCCAGCAACUGUAGCUCUGAUUCCACCCCUAGCCUGGGAAUGUCCAUAUGCCAAGGGUGCGGCGCCCCCAAAAAAGUGAUGAUACUCAUCGCUUUCGCUUCUUUCUCUUUCUCUCCUAUCUUCCAGUUUCCUCUAAAUGCCAGAAUUAAUCUGCUAUCAUUGUAACCCCAAUUAUACCUCAUGUUUCUGGGUUUAGGGUCAGAUCAACAGCUGGAGGUCACUCAGAGUUAAUCCAGGUGAACCAUGGAGGUUCAGCACAACCAAACGUUCUGGGUGGCCUGGAAUUCACUUUGCCCUGGUGUGUAUUUAUAGGCUGUCCUAAAAUUGCACCAAGUACUGGCACUACUGUUGUGACCUCUUACAACCUUGGGGUGCCCAGCACAACCUGGGCUGCUGAGACCACUUGGGCCCUGGUCUGACCUAACCCUAAGGCCAUUGCAGGGGGUGCUGGCACAGGGGAGCUAGGGCCGUGGUGACUUUUCACUUCUUUCUCAUUCUUUUUAGCUCCUUAAAAUACUCCCCAUGGGAGUUAGGCUUCUCACAGUAAAAGGGAAAGAGAAGAAACAAAAAUGAAGUGAACUUGAUGCCAUAUGGAGUAUUUGAAAGUUGCUAAGAGAGUAGAUCCUAGGAGUUUUCUGGUGGCUCGGUGAGUUAAGGAUCCAGCAUUGUCACUGCUGUGGCUUGAGUUGAUGCUGUGGUGCAGUGAUCCCCAGCCUGAGGACUUCCACAUGCUGUGGGGCCUGGCCAAAAAGAGAGAGAGAGUAGGUUCUAAGUGUUCCCUUCACAAGGAGGAAAAUCUUUUAAAUCUCUAUAGGGUGAUGGAUUUAACUAAACUCACUGUGGUCAUCAUCUCACAAUAUGUGCGAGUCAGGUCGCCAUGCCGUUGCCCUAAAACUUACAGAGCACUGUGUGUCAAUUACAUUUCAAAAAUGAAAAAGAGAGAAAGAAAGAAAGAAAGAAAGAAAGAACCCACUUCUUUACAUGAAAAAAUACAAAAAACAAAACAAAACAAAAAAAACACCUCAGUGUUCAGAUUUCCAAACAAUUUCCUUGCCCCUCUUUUGUUAAAAGAUAAGCAGAAACAGUAGGUGUUCUGAGAGAGAAGAUUUUUCUUAGCCUUUCUGGCCUGGACAGUGUCUGAAGUUGUGUACAGUGAACUUUGCAGAGGACACAGUUUCCCAAGAUUGUUUAGCUCAGAGUGAAGGACAUGGCACAUGGGCAGGACAUGUGACUGUCACGCAGGGCAGGUUCUUCGGACCAGUCACCCUGCAUGCUCAUAUUUUGAGCAAACACUGGGACUUGGGUUUCUAAGCACAGCCAGCUUUGUAGGGGUGACACCCCAGUCACCUCCCUCUUCCAGCCGAGAGUCACCAGAACACAAUGUCCCCAUCUUAUGAAUGGGCAUUGUUCUCAGAAAGAAUUCCUAAAUACUUUGUUUAGAACUGGAAGGCACUUUCCCAGAUAAACUAGAGUAUGCGUAAUCCAUACUAUUCAGGGCAGCCCAAAAGGACCAACAGAAACCCCACCCUGAGUAGAGACCUGCCUCUCAGGAAACACCUUCCAGUUUGCAAGCUGAGGUCCUGGGACCCUUCCCUACCACCGCAGCCCCUCUGUGAGCAGGGCCACCAGCACGUCCCGGCACCAGGCUGGGCUGAGCCAAGGGAGGAAGGUGUUCUCUGCUGUGGCCUUGGGCCCCCCUGAGGACACAGUCCCGCCCUCCUGGUACAGACUGGUGGCCUUACUGCUUUGAGGCUUUGCGGACACAAGGGGAUCCAGCAGUCAAGACAGACUGGAGGGCAGGAAAGCUGACAUUCCGGUCCUGGGAGCUGGGGCGACAUCUACAGAAGAGACACACUCUGGCCCUGGGGCUGAUGUCCAAGGCCAGGGUCCCAUUCAUGGACCCAGGAGAUGGGUGACCUCCUCUCCCCACCCUCAUUCUCCCACCAGCUGAAUUCUUGUCUUCUGAACUCAGAUCCUGUGUGUUCACAGAGGGACAAGCAGUCAGCAACCUGUCCCCUUCCCUCAGGCCUCUCCCUGGUGACUGAAGGGAAGGGUGCUUUUUAUUUUCUUGGCUGCACCCAAAGCAUGCGGAAGUUUCCAGGGCAGGGAUCACACCCACGCCACAGCAGUAACAAUACCGGGUCCUUUAACCACUAGGCCACCAGGGAACUCCCUCCAUUUUUUCUUUUCUUUCUUUUUUUGUUUUUUUGGCCACAGGUACAGCAACACUGGAUCCAAGCCAAGUCUGCAACCUACUCCACAGCUCAUGGCAAUGCUGGGUCCUUAACCCACUGAUCAAAGGCAGGGAUCGAACCCGCAUCCUCAUGGAUACUAGUCAGGUUCAUUUCCGCUAGGCCACAAAAGGGACUCCUCUUUUACUUUCUAUGCAGUGGGUUAAGGCUGAGGCAGGCAACCUCCCCACCCAUCUCCUGGCUCCCACCCCUACAACCUUCCCUGGGUUACCUCAGUUCAGGCCUCUCCCUCCUCCUGCCACCCCCCACCCUCCAGGGGCCACGGUCCUGCCUGGCCCGAGGGCUUAACUCCUUAUGCUGUGUUAGUUACAUUGCCAGAACAAAUUAAAAUUUUCAGAUAAUCAAAAACAAAACAAACAAACAAAAGGAACCCAACUGUUUUAUGUAAAAUGAACCCACCAUGGGGCCUCUCUCUGUAAUUCACACAGGCUGAGAAGCUAGUUCUGCCAUCCCGGCCUCACAGCGCCCCGACUCAAGGCUUCCCCAUCCCCUCUCUGUUUCAACACGUACACCAGAUGCCCUUUCUUCACUCUGUGCAAAUCUGUGUCCUUGGCUCUGCACGUCUUGAUCUCUCACCUUAGAUUCAGGACGGCCAAGUUCCUUCAGCUGUAUGCCCCUAUCAGAAGUUUCCUGACUCACCCUUCUUGUUCAAAAUUCACAGUGGCAAGAUGGGGGAAGAUUACUGUACACACCUGAGGCUCACAAGGAAACACACACCUCUGUUGCAGGUGACUACAUCCUGUGAUUACCCAGACAUCCGCUGAGGAACAAGAAGGAGCUUGGAGUCGGUCAGCGUCAAUUAGCAGCUGUGUGAGUCAGAGGAUGUUACUCGACCUCUCUGAAUCUUGUUUUCCCACCUGUAACUUGUGGAUGGUAAUGCCUACCUUGCAGAGGUACUGAGAGAAUUAUAUACAAUACAUGCAAAGCAGCUGGUACAGUAAGGCCUCCACAUGGUAGCUAGAGUUAUUCCCACCUCGGCAGUGAUGACCUUCAAACAUGCAGAGAAUUCGGCUACUUAAGAGCAAGGGCUAACCCAUGCCACUUCCCGGCCUGAGCUCCACUGUUGUCACCCACAUCUGGCAUGCUGGCCAGACUAGGCACUCCCCUCAUCUUUAUUCCACACUCAACCUUUAAAAAAAUAAGUAAAACAGGAGUUCCUGUGUGGCUCAAUAGGUUGGGGAUCAGGCAUAGGUGGGUGCUGUGGCAAGGGUUCAAUCCCUGGCCCAGGAUUUCCUCAGGCUGCUGGUGGGGCCAAAAAAAAUUAAAACAACACUGAGGCUGAUCUAAUUCUUCCCAAAUUGGUCCAGAGGAAAAAUCUGAAGCUCCACUGGGCUGCCUGCAAGGACCAUAUACCCUUUUUUUCUUUUUUUUCUCUUUUUAGGGCCACACCUGCAGCAUAUGGAGGAGUCAAAUUGGAGCUGUAACUGCCGGCCUACACCACAAGGUAGGGAUCCAAGCCUCAUAUCUGUGGGAUCCAAGCCUCAUAUCUGUGACCUACAGGUCACGGCAACAUCAGAUCCCUAACUCUGAGAGAGGCUAGGGAUCGAACCCAUGGAUGCUAGUCAGGUUCUUAACCCGCUGAGCCACGAUGGGAACUCCCGCAUGCCCAACUUUUUGAACCAAGUGACACCAUGUGGCCUCACAGGAGCGCAGCGCAGCCCAGAACCGGCUCUGCGGGAGCCUGGUCCCAGCCAGGCUGGGAGAGGGGUUGGCUGUGUCAGGAAAUGAAACAUGAAGAAACAAAGCACCUUACACCUGCGAAUGGACUCACAUCCCACUCCCUGAAUGCCCUUUCCGUCCACAGUCUAAGAUUCCCAGGCUGGACAAUCCAUGCUCUCAAAUCAGAAGGGACAAAAAUCACGCUGGCCAUUUAUAAAGUCUCAAACACGUGCUGCCACUGCUCCAGAGGUCGUGGGACAUUUACAGGAACAUCUUGCAGUCCUUGUCCUACUCGGAUAUUUCUUUUUGGCAAAGGACUCAGACCUUGCAGAACUGGGAUCCAGCGUUGUCACUACUGUGGCUCAGGUCACUGCAGUGGCACAGGUUCCAUCCCUGGUCAAGGAAUUUCCACAUGCCCAGGGCAUG